GGCGGCGUGCCUAAUACAUGCAAGUCGAACGAGUUCUCGUUGAUGAUCGGUGCUUGCACCGAGAUUCAACAUGGAACGAGUGGCGGACGGGUGAGUAACACGUGGGUAACCUGCCCUUAAGUGGGGGAUAACAUUUGGAAACAGAUGCUAAUACCGCAUAGAUCCAAGAACCGCAUGGUUCUUGGCUGAAAGAUGGCGUAAGCUAUCGCUUUUGGAUGGACCCGCGGCGUAUUAGCUAGUUGGUGAGGUAAUGGCUCACCAAGGCGAUGAUACGUAGCCGAACUGAGAGGUUGAUCGGCCACAUUGGGACUGAGACACGGCCCAAACUCCUACGGGAGGCAGCAGUAGGGAAUCUUCCACAAUGGACGCAAGUCUGAUGGAGCAACGCCGCGUGAGUGAAGAAGGCUUUCGGGUCGUAAAACUCUGUUGUUGGAGAAGAAUGGUCGGCAGAGUAACUGUUGUCGGCGUGACGGUAUCCAACCAGAAAGCCACGGCUAACUACGUGCCAGCAGCCGCGGUAAUACGUAGGUGGCAAGCGUUAUCCGGAUUUAUUGGGCGUAAAGCGAGCGCAGGCGGUUUUUUAAGUCUGAUGUGAAAGCCCUCGGCUUAACCGAGGAAGCGCAUCGGAAACUGGGAAACUUGAGUGCAGAAGAGGACAGUGGAACUCCAUGUGUAGCGGUGAAAUGCGUAGAUAUAUGGAAGAACACCAGUGGCGAAGGCGGCUGUCUGGUCUGUAACUGACGCUGAGGCUCGAAAGCAUGGGUAGCGAACAGGAUUAGAUACCCUGGUAGUCCAUGCCGUAAACGAUGAAUGCUAGGUGUUGGAGGGUUUCCGCCCUUCAGUGCCGCAGCUAACGCAUUAAGCAUUCCGCCUGGGGAGUACGACCGCAAGGUUGAAACUCAAAGGAAUUGACGGGGGCCCGCACAAGCGGUGGAGCAUGUGGUUUAAUUCGAAGCAACGCGAAGAACCUUACCAGGUCUUGACAUCUUUUGAUCACCUGAGAGAUCAGGUUUCCCCUUCGGGGGCAAAAUGACAGGUGGUGCAUGGUUGUCGUCAGCUCGUGUCGUGAGAUGUUGGGUUAAGUCCCGCAACGAGCGCAACCCUUAUGACUAGUUGCCAGCAUUUAGUUGGGCACUCUAGUAAGACUGCCGGUGACAAACCGGAGGAAGGUGGGGAUGACGUCAAAUCAUCAUGCCCCUUAUGACCUGGGCUACACACGUGCUACAAUGGAUGGUACAACGAGUUGCGAGACCGCGAGGUCAAGCUAAUCUCUUAAAGCCAUUCUCAGUUCGGACUGUAGGCUGCAACUCGCCUACACGAAGUCGGAAUCGCUAGUAAUCGCGGAUCAGCACGCCGCGGUGAAUACGUUCCCGGGCCUUGUACACACCGCCCGUCACACCAUGAGAGUUUGUAACACCCGAAGCCGGUGGCGUAACCCUUUUAGGGAGCGAGCCGUCUAAGGUGGGACAAAUGAUUAGGGUGAAGU
rnacentral:rRNA from 1 species